AUAUCUUAGGCUAAAAGUAGUUUAAGUUAAGUGCAAGUGGUAGGAGAGCGUUGUAUUUGCGUUGAAGGUAUACCGGUAAGGAGUGCUGGAGCGAAUACAAGUGAGCAUGCAGGCAUGAGUAGCGAUAAUUGGGGUGAGAAUCCCCAACGCCGUAAACCCAAGGUUUCCUACGCGAUGCUCGUCAUCGUAGGGUUAGCCGGGUCCUAAGCAAAGUCCGAAAGGGGUAUGCGAUGGAAAAUUGGUUAAUAUUCCAAUGCCAACUAUAAUGUGCGAUGGAAGGACGCUUAGAGUUAGAGAGGCUAGCGGAUGGUAGUGCUAGUCGAAAGGUGUAGGUUAAGAUCCAGGCAAAUCCGGAUCUUUUUAAGCCGAGACCCCAUAGGCGUUUGAAGUUCUUCGGAAUGGAUAGCGAACUCUCGAUACUGUCGAGCCAAGAAAAGUUUCUAAGUUUAGUUAUAGUUGCCCGUACCGUAAACCGACACAGGUGGGUGGGAUGAGUAUUCUAAGGCGCGUGGAAGAACUCUCUUCAAGGAACUCUGCAAAAUAGCACCGUAUCUUCGGUAUAAGGUGUGCCUACCAAUGUGUAAGGAUUUACUCCUGAGGCAUUGAAGGUUACAACAAAGAGUCCCUCCCGACUGUUUACCAAAAACACAGCACUCUGCUAACUCGUAAGAGGAUGUAUAGGGUGUGACGCCUGCCCGGUGCUCGAAGGUUAAUUGAUGACGUUAGCUAUGCGAAGCGUUUGAUCGAAGCCCGAGUAAACGGCGGCCGUAACUAUAACGGUCCUAAGGUAGCGAAAUUCCUUGUCGAUUAAAUAUCGACCUGCAUGAAUGGCGUAACGAGAUGGGAGCUGUCUCAGAGAGGGAUCCAGUGAAAUUGUAGUGGAGGUGAAAAUUCCUCCUACCCGCGGCAAGACGGAAAGACCCCGUGGACCUUUACUAUAGCUUGACACUGCUAUUGGGAUAAAAAUGUGCAGGAUAGGUGGGAGGCUUUGAUCCAUAGACGCCAGUUUAUGGUGAGCCGUUGUUGAGAUACCACUCUUUUUUAUUCUGAUAGCUAACUAGCUUGAGUUAUCCUCAAGUAGGACAAUGUCUGGUGGGUAGUUUGACUGGGGCGGUCGCCUCCCAAAAUGUAACGGAGGCUUACAAAGGUUGGCUCAGAGCGGAUGGAAAUCGCUCGUAGAGUAUAAAGGCAAAAGCCAGCUUAACUGCGAGACAUACACGUCAAGCAGGGACGAAAGUCGGUCUUAGUGAUCCGGUGGUUCUGUGUGGAAGGGCCAUCGCUCAAAGGAUAAAAGGUACCCCGGGGAUAACAGGCUGAUCUCCCCCAAGAGUAAAGCGGUACGCGAGCUGGGUUCAGAACGUCGUGAGACAGUUCGGUCCCUAUCUGCCGUGGGCGCAAGAAGAUUGAGGAGAGUUGACCCUAGUACGAGAGGACCGGGUCGAACCAACCACUGGUGUAUCAGUUAUCCUGCCAAGGGUAGCGCUGAGUAGCUAAGUUGGGAUGUGAUAACUGCUGAAAGCAUCUAAGCAGGAAGCCAACUCCAAGAUGAAUCUUCUUUU
rnacentral:rRNA from 1 species